CGAUGAAGCCCACUUGUGGGUGGAUUAGUGGCGAACGGGUGAGUAACACGUGAGUAACCUGCCCUUGACUCUGGGAUAAGCCUGGGAAACUGGGUCUAAUACCGGAUAUGACUGAUCAUCGCAUGGUGGUUGGUGGAAAGCUUUUUGUGGUUUUGGAUGGACUCGCGGCCUAUCAGCUUGUUGGUGAGGUAAUGGCUUACCAAGGCGACGACGGGUAGCCGGCCUGAGAGGGUGACCGGCCACACUGGGACUGAGACACGGCCCAGACUCCUACGGGAGGCAGCAGUGGGGAAUAUUGCACAAUGGGCGCAAGCCUGAUGCAGCGACGCCGCGUGAGGGAUGACGGCCUUCGGGUUGUAAACCUCUUUCAGUAGGGAAGAAGCGAAAGUGACGGUACCUGCAGAAGAAGCGCCGGCUAACUACGUGCCAGCAGCCGCGGUAAUACGUAGGGCGCAAGCGUUAUCCGGAAUUAUUGGGCGUAAAGAGCUCGUAGGCGGUUUGUCGCGUCUGCCGUGAAAGUCCGGGGCUCAACUCCGGAUCUGCGGUGGGUACGGGCAGACUAGAGUGAUGUAGGGGAGACUGGAAUUCCUGGUGUAGCGGUGAAAUGCGCAGAUAUCAGGAGGAACACCGAUGGCGAAGGCAGGUCUCUGGGCAUUAACUGACGCUGAGGAGCGAAAGCAUGGGGAGCGAACAGGAUUAGAUACCCUGGUAGUCCAUGCCGUAAACGUUGGGCACUAGGUGUGGGGGACAUUCCACGUUUUCCGCGCCGUAGCUAACGCAUUAAGUGCCCCGCCUGGGGAGUAC
rnacentral:rRNA from 1 species